AUGCCGGAACCAACCCUCAGAAUUGCCAGAACCAUGUUCCGGACACGCCGGUACCACCUGCCGAGUAUGCCGGAACCACCUGAUCCACUCCCAAGAACCACAUGCUGGACAUGCCGGAACCACCUGCCUGACAGGCCAAAAUCAUAUGCCGGCUACGCCAGAACCACUUGGCGGACACUCCAGAAUCACCUGCAGGGCAGGCCAGCAGAACCUCUCAGAAGUGCCAGAAGCACGUGCCGGACAGCCCGGAACCAUCUGCCGGAUAGACCGGAAAGACAGGAAACACUUGCUGGAACCACCUGCUUGUCUCACCGGUCCCACCUGCCGAACAUGCAAAAUCACCUGCCAGCUACGCCAGAACCACUUGGCGAACAGUCUGGAAUCACCUGCCGGACAUGCUGGAACCACCUCUCAGACAUGCCAGAACCACGUGCCAAUGACCCCGGAAGCACUUGCCGAGCACACCGGAACCACCUGCUCGAAUUGCCAGAACCACCUUUUGGACACGCCAAAAUAACCAGCAGGCUAUGCCACAUCCACUUGUCGGACAUUCCAGAAUCACCUGACGGGCAUGCUGGAACCACCUCUCAGAGGUACCACAAACACAUGCCAGAGAUGGUGGAAGCACCUGCCGAGAAUGCCAGAAGUUCCAGCUCCACUCCACAGAACCGCCUGCCGGAAACGCCUAAAUCUCGUGCCGGCUACGCAAGAAGCACUUGGCGGACACUCCAGAAUCACCUGCCGGGCAUGCCAGCACAACCUCUCAAAAGUGCCAGAAGCACGUGCCGGACAGGCCGUAACCAUCUCCUGGAGAGCCCGGAACAAGAGGAAACAGUCGCCGGAACCACCUGCUUGACUCACCGGUCCCACCUGCCCGACACGCCAAAAUCUCCUGCCCAAUACACCAGAACCACUUGGUGGACAAGCUUGAAUCACGUGAAGGGCAUGCUGACACAACCUCUCAGACGUGCCACAACCUCGUGCCGGACACCCCAGAACCACCUGCCGGAAAGACCGGAACCACCUGCCGGACACCCCGGAACCACCGGCUCAAGUCGCCGGAAUCACCGCGGGACAUGCAAAAUCACCUGCCGGCUAUGCCAGAACCAUUUGCCGAACACUCCGGAAUCACCUGCCAGGCAUGACGGAACCACCUCUAAGACAUGCCAGAACCACAUGCCAAUGACACCGGAAGCACCUGCCGAGCACGCCGGAACCACCUGCUCGACAUGCCACAGCCACCUGCCGGACACGCCAAAAUCACCUGCCCGCUACACCAGAACCACUUGGCGGACAAGCCGGAAUCACGUGAAGGACAUGCACACACAACCUCUCAGACGUGACAGAACCUCGUGCCGGACACCCCAGAACCACCUGCCGGGAACACUGGAACCACCUGCCGGACACACCGGAAACACCGGCUCAUCUCGCUGGUACCACCUACCUGACACGCCAAAAUCACCUGUCGGGUAUGCCAGAACCACUUGCUGGACACUCUGGAAUCAUCUGCCGGACAUGCCAGAACCAGCUCUCAGACACACCAGAAUCACGUGCCGGACAUGCUGGAAGCACCUGCUGCGCAUGCCUGAGCCACCUGCUCGCCUCGCAAGAAACACCUGCCGGACACGCCAAAAUCACCUGCCAGGUACGCCUCAACCACUCAGCGGACACUCCGGAAUCACCUGUCGGGCAUGCCGGAACCACCUCUCAGAGGUGCCAGAACCACAUCCCGGACACUCCGGAAUCACCUGUCGGGCAUGCCGGAACCACCUCUCAGACUUGCCAGAAACAUGUUCCGGACACGCCGGUACCACCUGCCGAGUAUGCCAGAACCACCUGCUCCACUCCACAGAACCGCCUGUGGGACACGCCAAAAUCAUGUGCCGGUUAUGCCAGGACCACUUGGCGGACACUCCAGAAUAA
rnacentral:lncRNA from 1 species